GGGGAUUUGGCUCAGUGGUAGAGUGUUUGUCUAGCAAGCGCAAGGUCCUGGGUUCGGUCCCCAGCUCCG
rfam:Rattus norvegicus chromosome 17, whole genome shotgun sequence.